ACGGGUGAGUAACACGUGGGAACCUUCCUCGGGGUACGGAACAACUCAGGGAAACUUGAGCUAAUACCGUAUACGUCCGUGAGGAGAAAGAUUUAUCACCCUGAGACAGGCCCGCGUCGGAUUAUCUAGUUGGUGGGGUAACGGCCUACCAAGGCGACGAUCCGUAGCUGAUCUUAGAGGAUGAUCAGCCACACUGGGACUGAGACACGGCCCAGACUCCUACGGGAGGCACCAGUGGGAAAUCUUGGACAAUGGGCGCAGGCCUGAUCCGGCCAUGCCGCGUGACUGAAAAACGUCUUCGGAUUGUAAAGCUCUUUUGCCUUGGACGAUAAUGACGGUUCCUGGAGAAUAAACCCCGGCAAACUUCAUGCCCCCGGCCGCGGAAAUACCAAGGGGGCUAGCGUUGUUCGGAAUUACUGGGCGUAAAGCGCACGUAAGCGGGCGAUUAAGUCUUGGGUGAAAUCCCGGAGCUCAACUCCGGAACUGCCUUUGAUACUGGACCUCUAUAGAUCCCAAGAGGUGAGUGGAAUUCCCGGU
rnacentral:rRNA from 1 species